AGAGUUUGAUCAUGGCUCAGAUGGACGCUGGCCGCCGUGCUUAACACAUGCCAGUCGAGCGACUUAACUUCGGUUAAGAGCGGCGGACGGUGAGUAACGCGUGGUUACCUGCCCCGUACACACGGAUAACAUACCGAAAGUAUGCUAAUACGAGAUAAUAUGCUUUUAUCGCAUGGUAGAAGUAUCAAAGCUCCGGCGGUACAGGAUGGACCCGCGUCUGAUUAGCUAGUUGGUAAGGUAACGGCUUACCAAGGCGACGAUCAGUAGCCGACCUGAGAGGGUGAUCGGCCACAUUGGAACUGAGACACGGUCCAAACUCCUACGGGAGGCAGCAGUGGGGAAUAUUGCACAAUGGGCGAAAGCCUGAUGCAGCAACGCCGCGUGAGCGAUGAAGGCCUUCGGGUCGUAAAGCUCUGUCCUCAAGGAAGAUAAUGACGGUACUUGAGGAGGAAGCCCCGGCUAACUACGUGCCAGCAGCCGCGGUAAUACGUAGGGGGCUAGCGUUAUCCGGAAUUACUGGGCGUAAAGGGUGCGUAGGUGGUUUCUUAAGUCAGAGGUGAAAGGCUACGGCUCAACCGUAGUAAGCCUUUGAAACUGGGAAACUUGAGUGCAGGAGAGGAGAGUGGAAUUCCUAGUGUAGCGGUGAAAUGCGUAGAUAUUAGGAGGAACACCAGUUGCGAAGGCGGCUCUCUGGACUGUAACUGACACUGAGGCACGAAAGCGUGGGGAGCAAACAGGAUUAGAUACCCUGGUAGUCCACGCCGUAAACGAUGAGUACUAGCUGUCGGAGGUUACCCCCUUCGGUGGCGCAGCU
rnacentral:rRNA from 1 species